UUUGAAAGCAUCAUUUUAACUACUACGCAUCCUACACAUAUUCAAAUAGUAUCUAUAUACAAAUCGCCAUCAUGUACAUAUGCCACUCUACAGGAAUGCAUGAAAAAACAUAUACUUCCAAACAUAAAAAUUAACAAACGUUUCAUAAUAUUCGGAGAUUUCAAUAUCAACAUUCAGAAUAAAACUAUGUUUCUCAAUUUCAUGCAUGAAACAUUCAACUGUACACAACAAAUUACAACUCCAACUACCAUUAUGGGCAGUACCUUAGAUUUAGUGUUUACUAAUUGUGACUUACUUUACAAAACCACACUAUACUGUCCAUGGUCUGAUCAUAAAACAAUUCAAAUCACAUUACCACUAUAACAUGUUAACAUUGUUUGUAUGAAUACCUCAAUUUCCACAAAGCUUCUCGAUUAAAUAAAGUCUACAAUUACAUUUGAUACCAGUAUUUUGUCAUUGCUUUGCCCUGACCCCUUUAGGUCACAAUCAACAUGCACAUGAUGACAUAUAACUGCGCACAUGGCUUCGCUCCUCAGUAUGUACAGGAACUUGUCCAUAAAUACAUUCCUACAAAACUACUUCGCUCUACUACAAAACUGCUUCUCAAUCAUUUUAAAGUUAUUUUACAUUUCUAAAUUGUUAAUGGUAUUUCAUUUUUCCCUUAAAGAAAUGACGACCAUACAAAUUUACGUUCUAACAAAACCAGUUGCUCGUGGAAAACAUUCAGUACUUUAUGCCUUCAACAGUGAUUUAGACGUCCUUGAAGGAACAAUUUUCGGAAACGAUGUACCUCAUUUUGAAGAGAAAAUUUUUAAAAACCUGUACCUUCUGCUUAAGAAUGCAUCUGUGACUAAUAGGGAAAACACCCGUUACUUGCAUAUUGAGACACAAACAUGCCAGGUAAGCUAACCCACGCUUUAUUAUUCUAGUGUCAUCAUUUCCAUUGCAUAAAAAAAAAACAAUUUUUAAAAUAUUAUAGUAUUGUCACAUGAAAUGUUUGUUGCCUUUGACAGCUAACUUUGUAUAACAUUUCAAUAGGUCUUCUGGACUGGAGAAGCCUUCAAUGUUCCAGAGGCAAGAAUACAACAAUUCAAUUCUCCAGAAUAAGUACCUGUGGCCGAGGCUCUAGCGAGCCCCAAAAAAUGAAAAUAACCAUAGAGGGCCAAAUUACAGUGGUAAGACCAUUACUUCAUUAUUCAUUAUUUCAUUUCAUUUCAUCCUAAUGCAACAACACCAAAUUUCAAUUAUUCCAACACACUUAUAAAGGGUCUACUAAUCACAUUCAACGUAACUGUUCAUAUCCAUCCAUAACAUUGACACGGUGCAACUGUUCAUAUCCAUCCACAACAUUGACAUUGACAUGGUGCAACUACUUCCAUAAGGAAUGAUAUACAAAAUUCAGUUCUUAUAAUAGUACUACAUUACUUUCCUAGCAUUCAUAAAUGCUAAACCUAUAAUACUUAUUGCAGGUCAAGACUAUAAAAAGAGGUUCCACUUGGCAGCGCCGAGAUGUAACAUUAAAAGAUAGAAACACAAGCAUACAGCUAAAAUUGUGGAAUGAUAAGGCUGAAGAACUAACCGAACAAAAUGAGGGUUCGCUAGCGCUACUUACCAACGUCGAAAUUGACGUAUGGAACCAGAAAGCCCAAUUGAAGUUUAUUGACAUGACACACAUAGAGAUCCUAUCCGAACCCGAACAAAGAGUAGCAGAUCGAACACACACCAUCAUCGGCAUUGAUUACAACGAAAUGGAAAUGCACUUGUUAACAGAUGAGGACAAACAAUUAACUUGCAGUAAAUAUGUCUUCAACACAUUAUACUUAGAUGUAGAUGCAUUCACUGACCUUGUGCCAGUUCAAUGCAACAUCAGUACAACUGGAAAUAACAUUAGAUUUGUAAACACCUAUCUAUAUAUACAUUAUAUAUACAUUAAUAUAACAUUUAUAUAUAUAUAUAAAUAUAUAGAUGUAUAUAUAUAUAAUUUGGACAAGAUCAAUAAAUGAAAUAUAUUACUUUCUAGAGGUAGUGAACAUGUAUUACCUGCAUUUCGCCUGUACAGUAACUAGUAAUAUGUACACUUCCUCAUUAUUUCUUUUAAAUAAACGCUAUUACACUUAGAUGUAGAUAUAUUACUUUCUAGAAGUAGUGAACAUGUAUUACCUGCAUUUCGUCUGUACAGUAAUAAUUACAAUAUAUCACUUCCUAGUACUGUAUUACUAAACAUGUACUAUGACACAUGUAUACACUAUGUAUACUUGCAUAAUAUCUUUUUAAAUAUAUACAUUGGUAGUUUCUUACAAAGUGGCUUUACAUUUUGAUUAUAACGCUUCCUAGUAGUACUAAACAUGUACAAUUAGACUAAACACUAGUAAGUAGUAUGUGUACGUUCCCAAUAACACACACAUACAUAUAUGUGUAUGUAUGUACAGUACCAUCCAGAAAACAUUAGCCCUCCGCACGCAUUUUUUCCGCAUAUGAAAAUCGUGUGACACGCAGUUAAUUAGCCAUACGCAGUCAACCGUUACGGCAUUGAGUAAUUCAUGGUUUCAACGAACUGCCUAAUGAUUUUUACGUUCAACAAAUUGGUCUGUGUUGUUUAUCAGCCAGACAAAGGACAGAGCCUGUCUUUAUUUCGAAACAAUGCAACUGGGAAUAAACUUGAUACUUUUGUAGGCCUACGUCAUUGUAGAAAUUCAAGAAGAUCAAGGUGGUAAAAUCUUGUAUCUCUUUUAUUAGUCGAUCAAUUAAUGGUUGUGAAUAUUAUGAGUUUGAAACCAAAUAUAAUGCUGUAACUUGUGUCCUGUGUGUUAUUUUGUUACGAUACAAUAAUAAUAGUUGUUGAUAAAGGCAACGAUUCACGAUGUCGUCUGUUUAACAACAUAAUUAAUGACAAACAGUUUUUUUUUAUUCACUGAAAUUCUUAACAAAAUCGACUGUUGUGUAUUAUUGGCCAUAUCGUAGUAAGAGUUUAAGAGCGUGAGAGAAUAAAGAUUCCUUCUUAAUGAACAGUAUUAAGAGUUUAAGAGCGUGAGAAAAGAAAGAUUCCUUCUUAAGGAACACGUAUACAAUGUGCCCGCUGUAAUCGUCGUGCUGGAAGCGAAGCCAAGUUUGUACGAAGUUUGAUUAUUGAUUCGUCUGAAGAUGCUAAAUACGUAAGUCUUUAAUAUUUAUUGACAGGUAGUAUGAAACACACAUCAUCAGUUUUAAGAGUUUAAGAGCGUGAGAAAAGAAAGAUUCCUUCUUAAGGAACACGUAUACAAUGUGCCCGCUGUAAUCGUCGUGCUGGAAGCGAAGCCAAGUUUGUACGAAGUUUGAUUAUUGAUUCGUCUGAAGAUGCUAAAAAUCGUAAGUCUUUAAUAUUUAUUGACAGGUAGUAUGAAACACACAUCAUCAGUUUCCAAUUUUAUAAUAUAUAUAUAUUUAUUUAUAAUCUUUGAGAUGAUCACACUGUUGACUAUCUUAUUGUGAGACAAUCAAAUUGUGGAAUAAAAUGGCAUGAUUAAGGCUUAAAUUACGAUUUUAAAAAGAUAUACACUGUUAUGAAAAUAAAGUUUAUG